GCCGCGGUGGCGGAAUUGGUAUACGCGCUGGCCUUAGAAGCCAGUGCCCGCAAGGGCUUGAGGGUUCGAGUCCCUCCCGCGGCACCA
rnacentral:tRNA from 1 species